AGUGCACAAGUUGGCUCUCUUGGGAGUAUCUCUUGGGAGUAGAGAGGUCAGUGCACAAGUAUAGCUGUUACACUUGCAUCAGACUUGCUAAUACUAUAGCACUAGAUAACUAAUAGUAUUGCUCGCAAAAAAAAGAUAACUAAUAGUAUGAAUUAGUAAUAUGCAUGCGUGGCUUUACCGAACAACCUGACGGGAUCCAAGCAAGACAAUGACUCUGUAAAC
rnacentral:lncRNA from 1 species